UCAAGAUUCAGAUAAGGAACCUGUUACACAUUCUCAAGACCUUAAGAUCAAAAGGUUCCAGCUUGGGAUAUGGUUCAGCUCUUCAGAGUCAAAGGAACAAUAGAGGGAACAUAUAGCUACCGUUUCCCGAAGAAACUGCAUAAGUCAACUGCCCUAGCUGUAAAGUUGCUGCCUGCACACGCUACAAUGCAAAAACAAUGUAGCAGUCAACUCAUAUCUUUGGCAAAUGUGUUAAUUGAUGCUUAUCGCAGUCUUAUAAAUGAUAAAUAUACUUUAACUUUAGAAUUAGGAGAAGCAGAACAGACCAGAGAUGACCUAGUAGUCGUUAUAGUUGAUUUAAAGGAAACAAUUAAGAACCUAAAGAAAAAGAAGGAUGCCUUAGAUGAAAAAAGUGCAAAUAUAGAACAUGAAAGAAAUGAUCUAAUGGUCGUUGUGGUAGAACUAAAAGAGACCAUUGAGUGUGUAAGAAAAGAAAAAGAAGUCUUAACUGAGAGGGUUGCUAAUAUUGAGCAUGAGAGAGAUGACCUAUUAGUGGUGCUCGUGGACUCGAAGGAAAUAAUUGGGGAACUUAAAAUGGAGAGUAGGCCUGAAAAUUCUCAAAAGGGAAAGGAAUUUGCAAGUGAGGCACACAUUAAACUUGAAAGUGGGUUAAAUUCAAUAAAGUCUAGUCUGUGUGUUGAGCUUGAGAAAACAAACAACUUCAUGAAGAACUAGGAAGAGUGAAGAGUGACCUUGAAAAAUCACUCAAGUGGACCUGGUCCUGUGAUGUUAUCACUACCAUGUACACCAACAAUGGGGAAAACAUGCAGGGGAUUUGGUUCCAAAAGGAAAUGAUUCCUUACAAUCCUCAUAGCAAGUAGGUUACUGUACCUUAUAGUUGGCUUUGCACUCGCUGUAGCAACACUGCACUUUAAAGAAAAUUGUAAAGCCAGAUUUCAGUCACAUCAGAAAAAUAAAGUUUUCGUUGAAAAAGUAACUACUGGUAGAGAACCUGGCCCCUCAUAUAAAAAAUGCAUGAUGCCUGUUUGGACCAGAAGAUCCCUCAUUCACCCCUUUCCUCAUUACAAGGGACCCAAAUUCCAAAGUCUAACUCUUCAUUUUUUUCCUGUACAGGGAACAUUGAAAGGAAGCAGCCUACAAUGGUACAUGGAUAGCGGUUGCUCAAAGCAUAUGACUGGAAGUACAAAUGAUUUCCUUUCACUUAAGGCCCUGCAAGGAGGGAGUGUAUCCUUUGGAAAUGGAAAGAAAGGAUACAUUCUGGGAGUUGGAAGGAUUGGGAAGUCUCUCUCACACUCAAUCGAAAAUGUGUACUACGUGAACGGGUUGAAGUAUAUCUUGCUAAGUGUUUCCCAGAUCCGUGACAAGGGAAACAAGGUGAAAUUUGUGUCAAAAAUAUGUACAAUCACAAACUUAGUGACUGGUAGUAGCAAAAAGAUACAAAAAUAUCUAUAUUGCUGAUUUGGAGUCUCUGCAGAAUGGUGAUCUCAUUUGUCAAAGUGUUGUUCAUGAUGAUGCUGAAUUAUGGCAUAUGAGGCUGGGUCAUGCAAGUUUCACGUUGCUGAACAAAUUGGUCAGGAAGGACCUGGUUCGUGGUCUGCCCAAGUCAAGUUUCAAGGAUCACAAAGUGUGUGAUGCAUGUGUAAAAGGCAAGCAAGUCAGAUCCUCAUUCAAGCCCAAAAAGGAAGUCAGUACCUCAAGGCCACUUGAUCUUCUUCACAUGGAUUUUUGUAGACCCAUGAGGGUGGCAAGCAGGGGAGGAAAUAAAUAUAUCUUCGUUAUAGUUGACGAUUACUCCAGAUUCACCUAGACUCUGUUUCUCAGAACCAAGGAUGAAACCUUUAAAGUGUUUGUUGCCUUCGUCAAAAUGAUUCAAGUGAAGAUGGGUAAUAAUGUAGCUGGCAUCAGGUCUGAUCAUGGGACAGAGUUCGACAAUGCCAAAUUAGAUGGGUUCUGUACUGAAAAUGGUAUCACUCACAAUUUUUCAACUCCAAGAACACCUUAACAAAAUGGUGUUGUGGAGAGGAAGAAUAGAACUCUUGAAGAUAUGGCAAGGACAAUGUUGAUUGACAGUGGGAUUGCAAAGAACGUUUGGGUAGAAGCUGUAAAUACUGCUUGCUACUUGGUGAAUGGGUGCAUGAUCAGGUCCCUUCUGAACAAGACUCUAUAUGAACUGCUGAAUAGAAGGAAGCCCAAGCUGACACAUCUAAGAGCUUUUGGGUGUAAAUGUUUUGUCCUCAACAAUGGAAAGGAAACUCUUGGAAAAUUCGAUGCCAAAAGUGAUGAAGGAAUCUCUCUGGGAUACUCAUGUCAAAUCAAAGCUUACAAAGUAUACAACAAAAGGACUCAAUGUGUUGAAGAGAGUAUACAUGUUAUCUUUGUUGAAUCUCACCUCUCAUGUGAGAAGGACAGACGUGUUGACCAAGAUUGAGAACCUUUAUCUGUUCCAGGUGAAGUUAUUGACAUGGAAAAUGGAAAGGCAGACAUGAUGAGUCAUGUCAAGGAAUCCAGUGAAGAUGAUGCAAAUACAUCUCCAUCCAUUGGAGAAGAACCUGGUCUCACGAUCACUAUAACUGAAGUUGAAAAUAGAGUUGUUGAUACAGUCCAAGGUACAAAGAAGCAGCCAAGAACCUUAAUUAGAUAUACCUGGAUCCUCUACCAAUGAGAUUUAGGUACCAAAUUGGAAGCACAAAAGCUCACAUCCUCUUGAGAACAUAAUCACUCCUCUCGACUCAAGAAUUCAGACCAGGUCAAAAGCUAGAAACUCACUUGCCUUCUCAGCCUUUCUUUCUCAAAUAGAGCCCAAAAACAUCAAAGAAGCUUUGAAAGAUGCAGACUGGAUCAAUUCCAUGCAAGAAGAGCUGCAUCAAUUUGAAAGAAACAAAGUAUGGCACCUGGUUCCUCGACCUGUAAAUCGAACCGUUAUAUGAACUAGGUGGGUAUUCAGGAACAAACUUGAUGAGUUUGGAAACACAAUAAUAAAUAAGGCAAGGCUUGUAGUUCAAGGCUACAAUCAGGAAGAAGGGAUUAACUAUGAUGAAACUUUUACUCCAGUUUCUCGAAUGGAAGCUAUCAGAAUCCUUAUAGCCUUUACAUCACAUAUGGAAUUCACACUGUUCCAAAUGGAUGUCAAAAGUGCAUUUCUGAAUGGCUUCCUAAAAGAAGAAGUUUAUGUCAAGCAACCUCCUGGUUUUGAGAGCCACGAGCAUCUUGAGCAUGUGUUCAAACUGGACAAGGCACUCUAUGGGCUAAAGCAGGCUCCCCGGGCUUGGUAUGAAUGGUUGUCAAAGUUCCUUCUAGAAAAUGGCUUUACAAGAGGGAAAAUUGACAACACUCUUUUUUUGAAGAAACGGGGGAGGAACCUACUCAUUGUUCAAGUAUAUGUUGAUGAUAUCAUUUUCGGAGCCACAACUGAUCUCUUUGUGAAGAGUUUUCAAAACUCAUGGGGAGUAAGUUCGAGAUAAGUAUGAUGGGAGAAUUAUUUUUUUUCCUCGGACUUCAAGUGAGGCAAUCUCAAAAGGGGACAUUGAUAAGUCAGCAGAAGUACAUCAAGGAGCUGCUGAAAAGGUUUGACAUGGAAGCAUCAAAAGUUAUUGACACUCCUAUUGCCACAGCUACUCGUCUAGACAUGGAUGGACCUGAUUCCCCUAUAAAUCAGACCAUGUAUGGAGGGAUUAUAGGAUCACUCAUGUAUCUCACUGCAAGCAGACCAGACAUUGUGUUUGGCGUGGGUCUUUAUGAAAGAUUUCAAUCUAAUCCAAAGGAAUCUCAUAUGAAUAUUGCCAAGAGAAUAUUGAGAUAUCUCAAAGGAAUGCAGGACCAGGUUCUCUACUAUCCCUCAUGUGACAACUUUAAUCUUGUUGGGUAUGCUGAUGCUGAUUAUGCAGCAUAUCUGGUGGACAGGAAAAUAACGUCUGGAAUGGCACAUUUCCUAGGUUCCUGUCUAAUCUCAUUGGGUACAAGGAAGCAAAACUCUAUGGUACUCUCAACUACAUAAGCGGAAUAUGUAGCAACUGCUUCUUGAUGUGCUCAAUUUCUGAGGAUCAAACAGUAGUUGGAAGACUUUGGAGUAUUCUAUGACUGUGUGUCCCUCCUGUGUAACAAUACAAGUGCACUCAAUAUGGCCAAAAAUCCAUUCCAACAUAGGAGAACCAAGCACAUUGAUGUGUGUCACCACUUCCUCAGAGACAAUGUUGAAAAGGGGCUCAUUUGCAUGAAAUUCUGCAGCACAGAAGAUCAGAUUGCAGAUAUAUUUACCAAGGCCUUGAAAAGAGAACAUUUUGAAAGAAAUCACCUAGAACUAGGGUUGAUAAAACCCAACUGAGAACCUGGUCCCUCGAUGAUUGGCUAUAAAAGAAAUGUUCGGGAAACAUUAGUUAAAAAGUGUUUUCUGGCACAGUCUAACUCAUUUCUAUACCGUUACAGGUAGACACGCAUGAUGAUUACAGAGAAAAUAGGCAGUGGAUGUAGUACACGCUGGUAAAAAGGACAAAGCUUACAGAUGCAAGAUUAGUCAGGGAACCUGGUUCUCCUGACACAAGUUAGCAGCUUCUCUGUUCUCUCAUGCACAAUUUUGAACGGUUAAAACAAGUGCCAUGUCAUCAGUGCGACAUUUUCGUUUCCUUGCGUCUUUUGAACCCAAACGUCUCACCCGUUAAUAAUUGACCAGACUCCCAAAACUGCCGCCCUUUCUUAACCGGUCCCUCAUCCAUCUUAAAUACAUUCAUCACUGUCACAACUCUUCACAUCAAACUUCAAACUCUCACUUCAUUUUUCACUCUUCAAACUACCCAUUCCUUUUCUUCAAUUCAUCACUUCUCACCAUGGCUGAAAAUCAUGAAAACUCAAGUGUUCUAAGUAACACCCCAACUGAGUCCUCACCAGUUAAAACACCAAUUAUGGACUCUUCGCUCCCCACUACUACUAUCCAAAACGCUAGGACAGAGUCACCCCCACUCUCAGUUUCCUCUCCCAAAAAAUUGAGUUAUGGUUCUCAUAGGAGUCACAAAAGCUCGACUCCUAAAAGGUUUGUGGCUACGAGCUCUCUUCUUGCUUCGCCGGAAAAUCUGGUGAAAAGGGUACAGUUGAAGAAGAAGAAAAUCACGAAAUCUCUAGUCUUCCUUUGGAUGAAGGCUCAAAUGCAGACCAAAUUGCUAGUUCUGAGAAUUCUUCAGUUCCUAAUCUUGAGCCCUCAAGUACAACUCUUUCUUCUUCUGCGUUUUCCAUGAAGUUACAAGAGAAAGAAGCAAUAGAAAACAUGCUAUCUAUAGCUAAUGAAGGGGUUAUUAUCGAAGAAAGUGUGGAUGGGUAUGAGGUUUAGGGGGGAGAGUCUAAGACUAUGGUAGAGGGUAGAGAGCUUGUGCAUGUUGAACAAUCGGUACAGGACAAUACUAUCGGGGUACCAAAUGAGGGACCCGAUACCUCCUCAGAGGAUCCAACUCAGAGUCCUCUCAACAGCCCCAGGUCAAUAUUGAUCCUGCUCCCUCCCCUUAUUUCGAUGCUGAGCCUUUGUCUGUGGUUGUGCCUGAGAUGAGAUUUGAUUCUGAAGAAGUAGUUGGGGAAAAUGUAGAGGAUUCUGAUGAUAUGCCAAUUUCUAGCUUACCUAGGCAUAGACCAAUGGUUUCUCAAGAGUCUACUCCUAAGCGGCCUACUACAAGGUUGCAAAGAAAUGAGGCUCUUGAGUUUGCGCUUAAGAACAUCCAAGCUACACUACUAGAAAUUCGGCAAAAACCGAUCAAGGUCAACCGACCAACUUUGGUCGGUCAAAAAAUCAACCAAAGUUGGUCGGUUUUUCAAAAUAUUUUAUUUUCUAAUUUUUUUUUACGAAACCAACCGACUUUGGUCAAUUUUCUUUGGCGCAAAAAUGCGGGAAACUAUUUUUGAGUCCCGCAAAAUUUAUUUUUCAAGAAACCGACCAACUUUGGUUGGUUUUUCAAUUAAAAUAAAUAAAAAUUAAUAUUUUUGGUCGGUUAAUUCGAUCGGUCAUUUAAAAAAACCGACCAACUUUGGUCGGUAAUUUUACUUUUUAAUAAAGCCGACCAACUUUGGUCAGUUAUUUUCAUGCGAAAAUAUAAUUAAAGAGUAUAAACCAAAUAAAAGGCAGUCUUAAAAUAAAAUGCACCAAUGAUCUAGUGGUAGAAUAGUAUCCUACCACAGUACAAACUCCGGUUUGAUUCCCAGAUGGUGAAUCUUUUGAUUACAUAAUUAAAAUACCGAUCAACUGUGGUCGGUGCAAUAUUUCUUUUUUGAAUUUAAUUGACCGACCAAAGUUGGUCGGUAAUUUCCGACCAACUUUGGUCGGUAUUCCUUUCCGACACCAAAAAUACCGUUCACACGUAAAUGGUCAUAUUUUGGUCGGGUAUUGGCCAUUACCGACCAACUUUGGUCGGUUGUUUUGGUCGAUUUUUACCGAAUUUCUAGUAGUGCUAAGUCAAGGAGAAGAAAAUUAGUGAAAGAUGGGAAAAUUGUGAGCGAGAAGUCAGUGCCAAUUGUGAAUGUGGAUGAUGAAGUAGAAGAGAAACUUGUUUCCUUGACUAGAAAGCGCUUAUAGAAGCAUGGUCUCCCCAAGCCUAAAAGGGGAUCUUCUGUGUCUGUUGAAAGUUUGAACAAGUUUGAUGAUGUUGUCGCUAGUGAAAAGGUGGUGAAAGAAUCUGGUGAUAAGUUGGUAGAAGAGUCUGCUUCCAAGGUGAUGGAAGAAUUUGAAAAGUCUGUGAAGUCUGAUGAAAAAGGAAAGAAUGUUCGCAAGUCUGCUAAGAGAAAAGCUGAUACUGAUGAGGAACCUGGUUCCUCAAAGAAGGCCAAAGUUGGUGAUCCAAUGAGUGUUGGGAAAGGGAAGUUGAGGAAUCAAAAGGUGCUAUGGGGCCACACAUUUGCCCCUGAUAUUUUUGAGGAGGCUAGUAUGAUAUAGCUGGUUGAAAUUUUUGAGUUUCAACAGUGGACAUCUUUGUUCACAAGUGAUCCUCCAAAGGUGUAUGAGGAGGAAGUUCAAAGGUUCUAUGUCAACCGCUUCAAAGUUGAGAAUGAUCACAUCUGCGUGCUAGUGAAUAGAGGUGAUAUGGUAAUAGAGUCUGCUCUGUUGGUAUCUAUUCUGGGUGUGCCUGCUAAAGGGCUAUCUAGUGUUCAGGGAUCUUGUUCUCAAAAUUUCAGAAACGCCAUCUUGAAGGACAAAGCAGUUCAUCAAGGGGAACGGGUACAGAAGAAGGCCCUCCUUCCAGUGUACCAAAUGCUAUUUGAGUUGGUGAUAAAGGUCUUGCUCCCUCGUGCUGAGAGAAGAUCUAUCACUUCUCGUGCAUACGUGUUCAUCAUGGAAGCACUAGACAACUUCACUACCAUCAACGUGCCUGGGAUCAUGAAAGAGCACAUGCAGAAAGUGGCAGAUUUUAAAGAUGGUAAUCAUGGGCUGCCUUAUGGGUUCCUUCUCACAAAGGUCUUUGAGUAUUUCAAGGUUCCUAUGGGACAAGCUAAAGUGGGGACUAAGAAGCAAACAUUCUCUAAGUCCACUCUGGAAGAAUAUGAGUGCAUUGAUAGGGAUGGAGGAGUUGGAAGCACUUCUACCAUUUCUCAAUUGAUCAACGCUCAGAACAAUGUUGCUACUGAUAUAAGGAAGUUGAAAGCAAGGAAUGAUAUUCUUGAGAGUCAAUUGAGUCAACUUCAGGAGGCACCCAGUUCCAGCAUCUCACACAGUGAAGAGGUUUUCCAUCUGACCAAGGAGAAUGCUGAGCUCAAGAAGCAUGUGGAGGACCUGAAAGAGAAACUGCUCAAUAAGAAAAUGUCGGCGAAUGCUCGAAUGGAUCUCGUCCUCCAAACCCUUGCCUCUACCUCUAAGCCCUCUCCUUUCAGUGCUCCUUAAACAGUUUCCCCUCAGUGUCAAGGCUUAAGUAUUGGUUUCCUAUGAUUAGUUUUUUUUUAUGUUUGUGAUAUUUGUUUUUGUUGUUCUGAAUUAUGGAUGGUUUUCACUAACAUUGACUCUGCUCCCUGUUUUCAAAUUCGAAUUGGGAUAUGGUUCAGCACUUCAGAGUCAAAGGAACAAUAGAGGGAACAAAUAGCUACCGUUUCCCGAGGAAACUGCAUAAGUCAACUGCCCCAGCUGUAAAGAUGUUGCCUGCACACGCUAUAGUACAGAAACAAUGCAACAGUCAACUUUAUGGGGAGUGUCUUUUACCUACCUUGCUUACAUUAUCCUUGUGAUGUCACAAAUGCAUUAUUAACAUCAAGGAAGGUAAAACAAAUUACUUGUACACUUAGAAAAUUUACUCAAGCCAUUCACUAUGAUUGAUCAUCAAGAAAACGAUUCUCAAGUGCAUCAAGAACAAAGAACAACACUACUACUCACCAGUUCCCCAUAUCAAGUUAUUGUAUGUCCUUAGUUGAGUUGUAACUUUGUAAUAGUUCUUCAAUUAUAAUUCCUACUUAGCUUGUUUAGAAGCAUUGCGUAGGAAACCCUUUGUAAAUCAUAAACUCUUGUGUUUGUNNNNNNNNNNNNNNNGUGGCUUGUAAUAGAGUGUUACAUGUUAGUGAGGGAUUAAGAGGUUAAUUCCUAGGUUACAUAGGUUGUAAUCUGAAAGUUGCUCAGUAGUGUAGUUGAAAUCCUACAAGGGUAGGUCGUGGUUUUUAAUCCCUUUGAGCUGGGAAUUUUGCACGUAAAAUUCCUCCUGUCAUUUACUCACUAUAGUGUGCGUGGUUUCUGUAGGAACUUAUAGAGAACCUGGUUCUCUAUAUAGUUUGGUGGACCAAUAAAUCCUAUCAAUAAAAUAGAUGAAUACGUAACAGUGUACACAAUUAUUCAUAAACACAAAUCAUUAGAGAAUAAAAAGAUAAAUUCUUCAACGUAAUUCUACUCUGACAUAUGAUCAUAUAAUAUAUAAAUAUCCCUCACACUUGGAAUACAAAAGAAGUUCUUGAAGAUCUAGCUAGUUACCAUUAAUCAUAUCAUAUGGAUAUAUGCUCCAGAAGAAGAAUUUGGUUAGAUGAAGAAAGGGGAAAAUACUUGAAAGGUGAUCUUGUAACAGAACUCAUUGACCAAUUAAUUUCACUUGAGGAAUCUAAAUAGGCAAUUCCUGGUACGGUGAAGUAAAAGGAGGCAGAGAAAGAUGGGUAAAUGAUGGUGGGAAGUGAAGUUCAGAAGAUGAAAGUUCAUGUGUAAUAUAUUACAAAAGACAUUCAAAGUGUAAUUAUUUAAAUCCCGAAAAAGUUGUGACCGAUUAGAAACGGUAGAAAAAGAAAGCGAGGCGUUUGAAAAGUUGUAACCAAAAGAAUACAUCUGUUUGAUCAGUUCUUUUGAAACGCCAGAAAAGACAUAGUGGCUUAAUAAAAGAAUAAGGAAAAUAAGGAGAAAAGUAAAAACAAUCUAAGAAAAAAAGGUAUAUGGUAAUUCUAGCUUAAGAGAUGUGCCAUGUCAGCACCUCUUGGCCCUCCUUUAUAGAUAUAUAUAGAUUCUCGAAAGUUCUUCUCCACCUCUCCAAGAAAUCGUGUGGGACUGUGAUAACCCAAAAUGUCAUCUUUAAAUUUAAUAGUUAAUUCGGUGUUCUAAGACCUUGAAAAGAACUAUUUAUCAUCUCUCGACUUGCGUGCGCAGUCCGUAUAAUUUUCCGAAAAAUAUUUAUGUGAAAAAUUGAUUAAAAUGUGAAAUAGAGCUUUAAAACUCAACUGAGUUGACUUCGGUCAACAUUUUGAGUAAACGAACCCGAAUCAGUAUUUUGACAGUUCCGGUAGGUCCGUAUCGUAAUUUGGGAAUUUGGUGUAUGCCCGUAAUUUAAAUUGGAGGUUCCUAGCUCAAGUUAUGGCCAUUUGACGGAAACUAAAAAUUUAAAGGCUAAGAAUUUUUAAAGUUUGACAACGAAUUUGACUUUUUGAUAUCGGGGUCGUAUUCUGAUUCCGAAAGUUAGAGUAGAUCCGUUAUGUCAUUUACGACGAGUGUGCAAAAUUUGAGGUUAAUCGGACUUGAUUUGAUAGGUUUCAGCGUCGAAUACAGAAAUUAAAAUUUCUUAGUUUCAUUAAGCUUAAAUUGGGGUAUGAUUCGUGGUUUUAGCGUUGUUUGAUGUGAUUUGAAGUUUCGACUAAGUCUGUAAUAUGUUUUGAGACUUGUUGGUAUGUUCGGACGGGGUCCCGAGUGGCUCAGGUGAGUUUCGAACCAUUUUUAGGCCAUUUUAGUUGAUGGGUUUUGGCCACAGAGGUAUGCAUCACGGUCAUGGACAAACGGUCGCAAUCGCGAAGAGCAAUUUUGCUGUUUGGACACUGUGAAUCGCGAUCGCGUAAGCCUUUUCACGAUCGCGAGGAGGAAAAUCCAGUUGCACUGACCCGAUAUUGAAAGCUUAUAUCUCGCAAUCUAUAAGAACUUUGGAGAUGAUCCAAAAAUAAAAGUUGUAGCUCUUUGUGUCUAAUUUUCAGAAAUAUAAACCAUUUAUAAUUUAAAGUUGUGUACAAAACAUUAUGGUAGAUACACUAUAGGCUGUCUGGGAAGAGUUUGGAAAUAUCUGUUGCAUAGAGCUGACUUUGGAAGCUUAUAUCUCGCGAUAUAUAAGGAAUUGGGAGAUGAACAACAAAUGAAAGUUAUAUCCCUUGGUGUCUAGGUUUCAUAAAGUUAAACCAUUUGCAAUUUGGAGUUUUGUACAAAAGGUUAUGACCAUUAUACUAGAGGCUGCCUGGAAGAGCUAGGCACUUGUUCUUCGCGAUCGCAAAAGGCAAAUUUUGGGCUGAGAAAAGUUGUGCUUCGCGAUCGCGAAGACUUUUCCGCGAUCGCGAAGAGUAAAUACCCGGGAAGUAGCUAUAUUUCGAGAUUUCAGCCAUUUUUAACAUAUUUGGAGCUAUGGAGCUAGGAUUGAAGCGAUGUUUUAGGCGAUUUUCACCAUAUGGAUUGGUUAAGUGUUCUAUAUCCUAAAGUGUUUAUAUUUCAUGAAUAUAUGAUUAUAUUGAUCGUUUAUUUCGGAUUUAGAUGGAAGAAAUUGUAAUUUUUGUAAAAUUUUCCAAAAAUGAAAAUUUAAGAUUUGAAGGUCCAUUUGACAUCGAAAUUUGAUAAUUUUUGUAUGCUUGAACUCGUAUCAGAACGGCCGUUCGGAUUUCGUAAAUUUUUCUGAGAUUUGAUAUGUGGACCCCACUAUCGAUUUUUGAGAUGAAUUUCGAAUUUUAAUCAAGAAAAUUAGUAAAUUCAUAUGGAAUUAAUUCAUGCGGUUUGUAUUUAGUAUAUUGAAUUGUUUAUGACUAGAUUUGAGGAUUUCUGACAUGAAUUCGCGAGACAAAGGUUUAUUGGAUUCUUGAAUUUGGUUGCAAAGCGAGGUAAGUGUCGUGGUUAACCUUGACUUGAGGGAAUAGAACCCUUGAAUUAUUUGUUAUGUGAAAUUCACGUGAACGACGUAUAGGCGAGGUGACGAGUGUCUAUACAUCGUCAAAUUAAUUGUUUGCUUAAGUUUUUAAACAUCUUAAAUUGUUUUGAAACACAAAUUAAUUAUUAUAAUAAUUGUUUCUCUCAUAUUCCUUGUCAAAUAUUAAUUCUUGAAUUCCUAGUUGNNNNNNNNNNNNNNNNNNNNNNNNNNNNNNNNNNNNNNNNNNNNNNNNNNNNNNNNNNNNNNNNNNNNNNNNNNNNNNNNNNNNNNNNNNNNNNNNNNNNNNNNNNNNNNNNNNNNNNNNNNNNNNNNNNNNNNNNNNNNNNNNNNNNNNNNNNNNNNNNNNNNNNNNNNNNGCACGCCACAACAGAAUUGAUUGAAAUGAAUAUAUUGGAAGAACGGGUUGCACGCCGCAACAGAAUUGAUUAAAAUGAAUAUAUUGGAGGAACGGGUUGCACGGUGCAACAAAAUUGAUUGAAAUGAAUAUAUUGGAGGAACGGAUUACACGCCGCAACAAAAUUGAUUAAAAUGAAUAUAUUGGAGAGGAUAAGGUUAGGACUUGCGGUAUGUCUGCCUACUUAAUAAUCCUAUACUUCAGUACCAAAGGAGUUAGAGAAACAACUUUAAAUAUACAGAAGGUCUACUCAGCGUGGAUGUCAUGAUUGCGGAUUUUGGGGUGAUUCGGAGGAAGUACAGUGGUUGACGAGAUUCUGGACUAUGUGGUUCGUUCUAAGAAUUGUCUGUAUGGAGCUAUACUUUUGCGAUCGUUGUAUAUAAAUAGGGGUAAAGGUUACCCCAAAGAAGAAUCGAAGAGUAUGUUAAGAAAUAGGUCAGCUCGGCAGUGUUGAGUCAGCAUAACAAAAGAAGAAAUUAGCCUUGGGAGAGAUAAUUCUCCAUAGGUGUUCUUGGCAAGCCUAUGAAGAGGGCAAGCCAGCCAAUGCAAUACCGCCCACUUGGCUCAGUUCUCGGAAAUGCUUUUGAAAGAGUUUGUUUCCCAGACUCUCUGUAAUGCGUGGCGCAUUGGGUUUAAAAGGUCACGUCAGGUCACCAUGAUGGUGUCAGAAUAUGCCAUCAGGUUCAAUAAGUUAGCCCGUCAUAUGCCUAAUUUCCUUCUUACAGGCAGGGAGCAAGUCCACAAACUCAUUAAAGGACUCAAUUAUGAUCGUAAAAUUUUGUAUGACUUGGGAGUUACAGGCUGAUACUUCAUUUUCACUAGUGGUAGAAAUUGCCAAGAUAUUAGAACUUGUUCGGAGUGAGGAUAAAGGAAACUAAGGAGACCAAGACGUCUCAAGGUUCUGGGGGAUUCAGUGGAUUCUACUCUACGAGUAUAAAUCAUUAUGGCAGGGGCUCGGACAGUCGGCCAGCCCAGUCCGCACAUUAGAUUAUUCGGGGUGCUCCAGUAAGUUAUUUUAAUGCACCACUGACAUGAGUUUCCUACAAUGGUUAUUCUAGCUAUCUGGCACAGACUCAGUAUGAGCAGCCAAACCCUCAAAGGGGUUGUUAUGAAUGCGGUGGUAUUAGGAACAUCAUGAGAAAACUGUCCCAGACUUGGGAGAGAUAUAUUUCAUCAAAGCACUCAGGCUACGUGCCCCAUUGUAGUUACUACACCACCCACACGACCAGUUAGGGGUGGAGGACAGACGGGUAGAAGGCGUCCUAGAGGUGGAGGCCCAACCGCUGAUAUUUUUUUUUUAUGGUAUGGUGGAGGUCGCUACAUCAGAUGAUGUCGUUACAGGUACGACCUCAAUUUAAUAUAAAGGAAUAAUUUCCUUAACUUAUCCGGUUCUGAGUAUCGAGACGAGUCCUUCUAUUAUGCCCCACUUAUGAGUGAGCUUCAUAAUUCUAUAAUCUACUUAUGUGUUUGCUCCUAUUGGGAGGUUCUAUGGAGAUAACUAAGCCCACCAUUACAUGUUGGACUCUAAUAAGAGCUGUGAGGCUAAAUGUGGCUUUAUGAUACUCAUUUAGGUAAGUUUCGAUGUAAUUUCUGGAUAAUUAAUUAUAAAUUAUGAAUUAUAUGCCAUGCUGAUACAUUUAAAUGAUGGUUUAUUUGUGUACCUAUUAUUAUAUGUUGAUGACAUGCUCAUUGCUGCUAAGGAUUUAACAGAAAUUCACAAUUUGAAAAGUCAGCUGAAAAGUGAAUUUAAGAUGAAAGAUUUGGGAGCAGCUAAGAAAAUCCUUGGCAUGGAGAUCAAAAGAGAUCGAAAAGCCAAUAGGAUAUUUCUGACCCAGAAGAAGUACUUGGAGAAAGUCUUGGAAAGGUUUGGCAUGAAAGAUGCUAAACCAGUUAGUACCCCUCUUGCUGCCCAUUUUAAGUUAUCAGCUGCUCAGUUCCCGCAGUCAGAGGAAGAAGAGAGGUACAUGGCACAUGUUCCUUAUUCCAGUGCAGUCGGCAGUAUUAUGUAUGCAAUGGUUUGUACACGUCCAGACAUUUCACAAGCAGUGAGCGUGGUAAGCCGGUAUAUGGCUUGCCCUGGUAAAGCACAUUAGCAUGCUGUGAAAUGGAUUCUCAGAUACUUGCGAGGUACUUCAAACACAUGUUUGGAGUUUGGGAGAAAUACUAACACUUUGGUUGGUUUUAUAGACUCAGAUUAUGCAGGUGAUCUUGACAAAAGAAGAUCACUGACAGGCUAUGUAUUUUGCAUCGGAGGUUGCGCUAUUAGUUGGAAAGCUACAUUACAACAUGUAGUAGCUUUAUCUACUACCGAAGCAGAAUAUAUGGCAGUGACCGAGGCGAUCAAAGAAGCUUUAUGGUUGAAGGGUCUAUUUGCGGAACUCAGUUUACACCAAGGUGGUAUUACCAUUUUCUGUGAUAGUCAAAGUGCCAUUCACUUGACUAGAGAUCAAAUGUAUCAUGAGAGGACGAAGCACAUUGAUAUAAAGUAUCAUUUCAUCCGAGAAACCAUUGCUGAAAGAAAAGUUUCUGUUCAGAAGAUCAACACUAGAGACAAUCCUGCUGACAUGUUCACAAAACCUCUUCCAGUAUCCAAGUUCAAGCUUUGCCUGAACUUGAUUGGCAUUUAUGAAGAAUGAUUUUGCCCAUUGGGGUUUUUGCGGAGAAGGUGGAGCAAAUUUACUAUAAGCCGAAAUUAGGCCAAGGUGGAGAUUUGUAAUAUGGCCAAAUUUUCAUGACAUUUGCCCUGACAUAAUAUCCAUUAUAAUAAAUUUGUGGUUCAUGACAUUUGCCAUGACAUAAUAUCUAUUAUAACAAAUUUGUUGAUCAUGACAUUUGCCAUGACAUAAUAUCCAUUAUUAGGCCAAUAAUUUCUUGCUAUAAAUAGAGGAGUUUCUCCUCAUUUGCAAACACACCAAUUCAAGAGCUUUUCACUCUUGUCUUUCUUUCUCCUCAUUUAUUUCAUUAUAGAGUAUUUUGUAAGAGAGUGAGUGUUGGAAAAUACUUGUGUGAACCCUUUCUUUGGAGUUGAUCUUGUGAGGUUAUUCUCUUGGGGUAUUUGGGAUUAAUUAGAGUAUUUACUCUAAUUUUGUACUCUUGUUGGUAUAGUGAAAUUGCUCAUCUCUGCUUGUGGACGUAGGUCAUCUUGACCGAACCACGUUAAAUUUGUGUCUUCUUUAUAUUCUUUAAUUGCCGUUAUUAUCAACUUCCAUUGUCUUUGUUAUUGUUAUUAUACCGUUGUUUGGCUAAAUUUCGCACUACCCGGAUUCCCGAUCCUAACAGUAACGCUUUUCUCUUAACCUCCUUUUCCCAAAAAUUUUGAAAAUCCAAACAUAUGGUAAAUGACAUCCCUAAAGACCUGUUAAGCAAAUUCUCUGAAGAAUUUCUGCAAGACACAGUAUUACCAAAAUACCCUUGGCUCUAUAGAUGUAAAUGAAGAACUAGAAACCUAGAAGCAGAUUAGUAAAUUCAAAGCAAACAUGGAAAUGAACCUAACACUCUGCACAUAAAAGUUUCUUUUUCUUUCACUUGUAUUCUUUUUCAUAAUCGUAGUGUUCAGCUUGCGUGUAGCUCGAGUAAUUCCCUUGGGUUGCAUUCUAUAACACCAUUUCAAGCAGAGUUCUAUCCAACGAACUGGAAAUCCAAUCUGCUUUAUUUGAAAUUUCAAAAGCAAAAGAUAGACCAAAGAUAAAUGUAUCUUUUCCACAAGAACAGUAUACAAAACUAAAUCUGUGUACAAAAUUUCAUUUUUUUUAAAACAUUAACCUUAGAAAACCACUGAUUAGAAAAAACAUAGCCGUGAAAAUGAAUGUACUUAUAUUCGCCUCUAAGGGUCAAUUGGCAGCCUGGUUUUAAUUUGAAUCGUUAUGUUAACAAAAAGAAAUAAACUUUAAGAAUCGAAUCGUUACGAUAACAAAAAAGAAAAAUCACAAUUAAAUUAAAACAAACUCGACAAAGAUUUAAACUUUGAGGAAAAGAGAUCCGCAUUUUAUCAUACCACAGUAAUUCAAAUGCAGAAAACAAACAAAAAUAAACUCAGACAAGCUCAAAUUCAGAACAAAAAUCUCCACAAGUUGUACCCAGAAUUACUUUAAUACCCUUAACAACUUUGGAAUCAAGUUCUACUUGAAUUAGAAAUGACUCCAAGAAACAACCAGAAUAAACAAUUGAAGCAAAAAAUAAAAAUAAAAAAGACAGAGAGCAAGAGAGAGAUUUAGGACUUGCCUUUAGAAGAUACCAGGUAACUGUUGCAA
rnacentral:lncRNA from 1 species